CAACCAUCAAGCCCUAGGCUUGUGUUGGGGCCCUGCGGCCGUCCGCAGCCUCCUAAAAAUAGUGGCGGGCUCGCUAUAUACCGAGUGCAGUAGUUUACUCUUCGCUCAGGACGUGUAGCGGGUUCUGGCCGUAAAACCCCUAAAUUUAUCAAGG
rnacentral:misc_RNA from 1 species